CUUAUAUCCUGAGGACGCGCUCUCGCUGGUAUCUACAGAUGCCGUCGUACACCCCGACUAUUCGUCCGAUGGCAGCACCACCACCUCUGACGUCGCCGUUGUGCGUCUCUCUGAAAUGGUUACGCUUACAGACAAAAUCAGGCCUGUGCGAUUGCCAUCUGCAUCACAAGUUAGCGAGACAUUCGCUGAAUGGGCUGCUGUGAUCAAUGGCUGGGGAUAUCGCUUUGACGGUAUUCAAAUGAUAAGUCCCUACCUGCAGUAUGCUGAGAUGACAAUCAUCGAGAACUCCUAGUGUGAAGAGACAUUCCCAGGAGCGAUAAGUAAUCAUCAUAUUUGUUCCAAGGCAUCCA